rnacentral:rRNA from 1 species
UACAGAGGUCCCCAAGCGUUACUCGGAAUUACUGGGCGUAAAGCGCGCGCAGGCGGUCCUUUAAGCCUGAUGUGAAAGCCCACGGCUCAACCGUGGAGGGUCAUUGGAAACUGGGGGACUUGAGUGCAGGAGAGAAGAGUGGAAUUCCACGUGUAGCGGUGAAAUGCGUAGAGAUGUGGAGGAACACCAGUGGCGAAGGCGGCCCCCUGGACCGGUACUGACGCUGAGGCGCGAAAGCGUGG